CCCAGAUAGCCUGGAUCUGAGUGGAUAUUAUUGGCGAAUAGUGCUCAGAUCCCACACACAUAGUUCAAUCCCCAUGGAGUCAAAGUCUAUUACAGUUCUUCGGUAUGCGAUUGACUCCAUGGGAAGGCUAUCUGGGGUAAGUCCAUUCGUGCCUUUAACCCUCUCGAACGGCCGGUGUUCGCAUACUUCUGUCGAUUGAGAAGGGAGGUCGACGGCUUCAGCAGUGUUCGGUUGAAAAAGUGUCAGUUUUUAGUUCCAUGAAAUAACCGAACACCGCUGGUCUUUCGCAUUGUUAAAAUGGCCGCCGCCUCGUGGUCGACAUACGAACGACGACCACCCUGUAUUCAGUUUUAAUUGAGAAGUGUCUGUGGUUAACCGCAACGUUCUAAUUGGGAUCAAUAGGUUAACCAGCAGCACACUUCUCUUCUGGGUGGCAGUCAGUUCGGUAGUUCCGUUCGACAAAAAAAUACAUUCCCUUAAACAAG